rnacentral:rRNA from 1 species
GGUCCGAACCCACGAGCGUUGAAAAGCUCGGGGAUGACUUGUGGGUAGCGGUGAAAUUCCAAUCGAGCCCGGAGAUAGCUGGUUCUCCCCGAAAUAGCUUUAGGGCUAGCCUCAAGGUGAGAGAUACGGAGGUAGAGCACUGAAUGUCCUAGGGGGUAUUGCACCUACCGAAGACUAUCAAACUCCGAAUGCCGUCAUCUUAUACUUGGGAGUCAGACUGUGGGUGAUAAGAUUCAUAGUCGAAAGGGCAACAGCCCAGAUCGUCAGCUAAGGUCCCUAAAUGUAAGUUAAGUGGUAAAGGAUGUGGGAUUGCACAGACAACCAGGAUGUUGGCUUAGAAGCAGCCACUCAUUCAAAGAGUGCGUAAUAGCUCACUGGUCGAGUGAUCCUGCGCCGAAGAUUUCCGGGGCUAAAACUUACUACCGAAGCUACGGCAUCAGUAAUGAUGGGUAGGGGAGCUUCCCAUACGGGUUGAAGCAUGACCGUAAGGACAUGUGGACAGUAUGGGAGUGAGAAUGUUGGCAUGAGUAGCGAGAUGUGGGUGAGAAUCCCACAGGCCGUAAACCCAAGGUUUCCAGGGGAAGGUUCGUCCGCCCUGGGUUAGUCGGGACCUAAGCUGAGGCCGAAAGGCGUAGGUGAUGGACAACAGGUUGAUAUUCCUGUACUACCGAUAACCGUUUGAGAGAAGGGAUGACACAGUAGGAUAAGCUAAGCACACUGUUGGUUAUGUGUGCCCAAGCAUUGAGGCAGUCAAAGUAGGCAAAUCCGCUUUGAUAAUGCUGGGAUGUGAUGGGGAGCGAAAUUUAGUAGCGAAGUAGCUGAUUUCACACUGUCAAGAAAAGUCUCUAUCGAGGUUAAAGGUACCCGUACCGCAAACCGACACAGGUGGGUGAGGAGAGUAUCCGAAGGCCAGCGAGAGAACUGUUGUUAAGGAACUCGGCAAAAUGACCCCGUAACUUAGGGAUAAGGGGUGCCACCAU